GGUGGCUUAGUGGUAGAGUGCUUGCCUUGCAUGCAUGAAGCCCUGGGUUCGAUUCCUCAGUACCA
rfam:Dipodomys ordii contig_38281, whole genome shotgun sequence.